GCACAUACCUCGAGCUCCGCCGCCGCCUCUUCCCCAUCUCUCCCAUUCGCAUGCCACCAUCUCCUCCCAUCCCAGAAUCGUUUUCCUCGCCCAUCGGCACGCGACACCUGAGAGAACCCCAUCGGCUCCGUCGAUCUGCCAGACCUAGGUCCUCCUCCUACGCCCGUGGCUAACCCUAGCCACCACUGUCGCCGAUGCACGGCGCCGUCUUGAACGCCGGUGCGGCUCCAAUGCCUCCUGCCCGCUCCCCCCACGUCACCGAGGCCGUCGAGCGCGAGGGCAUACAAAUCUAUUUUUUCUAGUUUCCCAGAUCUGUAUUUCUGGUUUUGGUAGUGAAGCGUGGAGGUGGAUGCUACUUGUCAAGGAGGAAGUUGGUUGCAAUUUUAGUUUGUAAGGUGCAGCAGACACAAAAUAAUGGUUCAUCCCUCUAUCUAAUCUAGACAUCAAGAGAUUGGCUGUAUUCACUCUUGAUGAGCUCACAAGAAAGUGACCAUGAAAUCAGAAGGACGGCUGGAACAUCAGCACUAGCACAAGCGGAACGAGGAAGGUGAUGGCCACAAGGUUGAGGACUGAGAAUACAGAGAUUUCUUGACAGGUCGACUAAACUCUCCACGUUGGGCAUAAGUCGCAAACAACAAAGAGAAAGGGGCGCCUCUCACCUGGCACCGCCCCAACUUCCACUCAAGCGGACCAAAUAUAGCAGCCGAGCAUGUGGAAACAAGAUAAGUGUGCACUGGCCUGCCUCACGAGGUGCCACCUCGUGAUGCCCCAGCCUCUAUAUGCAGUCGAACAUCAAUAGUAUAGAUUAUGCGGUAAAGUAAUAAGAUAGUUGCGAUAUUGGCCGCAAAUGACAACAAUACCGCGCUUAGCUUCGAGUGUUUGAUUUCUCGUAAAAAAGGUCCAUCAUCAUCAUAGCCACUCCUCGAACACGUAGAUAGACACUUGUUUUUUUUCUUCUGAGUACUAGAUAGACACUUGUUUGACAAGUGGAUGCAGAUACAUACUCUAGCCCAGGCCGUGUAGUAGAAUAGUUUAUCAUCCUGAAGAUAUGUGUUCUUCUAAUUAAAAAGCAUUAAAUAGUUCCUCGCAAAAUAAAGCAUUAAAUAGUAGCCAAAAAAGAGGAAGCGCGAGACAGAAGACGGUAGUCUUUUAAGCGGCUAGACAGAUAGAUAGAGAUAGAUAGGUACACACGCUGAGCUGCCGCAUCGUCAUUGUCCGUUGGUCGCACGCAGUUAACCGCAGAUGUUGCCAAUAAGCCCCUCCCUCUACUCGGUCAGGACAAGCCAGAGGAGGAGAAACUGGAGCGCGGAGGCACCACUCCGAGGCCGCGCAACCACAACCCCUCAUGCCCGUGACUCACCGUUCGCU